rnacentral:lncRNA from 1 species
GUGGCUGCAAUUCUAUUUUGCAGCAGCCACCAACAAGUGGUCGUGGCGAGAGAAGUGGCAGAUGAGGGAAACGAGUUACAAAUAAUACCCCCAUGGGAUAUCCCAUGUUAUUUGCCGUGGCCAUUCCCCUGGCCACGACCAUGGCCAUGCCCUCCUCCACGACCACGACCACGACCACGACCUCGACCGCGCCCAUGCCCACCGCCACCUCCUCCACCAUGUCCUCCACCACCUCCACCUCCGCGCUCACCACCACCUCCACCUCCGCGCUCGCCACCGCCUCCACCACCAAGAUCACCCCCUCCUACACCGUUUUCGGGGUGCUCUAUUAGUGACCAACAAAAGGUGAAGAAAUGCAUGUUCAACACAACUUCAAUUGAUGCAUGUUGUCCGACAUUCAAGAGCAUACUUGGCACUAGUUGUCCUUGCUAUAAGUAUGCUGAGGAUUUAGACAAUCAAGU